UGAAGGCCUUAAUUUAAUCUUGCUGAAGCUCUCGCAUUCCUGUUUGUAUACGUAUGGAUGUUCAAUAGUUUUAGACAUGGGAGGUGUCAGGAUAAAAUACGUUGGCGUGCUAGUCGAGACUGGACAUGAGCUGAUGAGCAUGUAAUCGACAAACUUUUGUUCUUGAUGUGUGUGGUGAGUCCUCGAUCUGGGUUGACUAAGAAAUUAUUCUUGGUGCAAGACUAACGUUAUGAUUUUGUGAAGU
rnacentral:lncRNA from 1 species